AAAUUGCUUGGGGAGUCAAACAAUGACCACAAAGGAAACAUAUGCAAGGAAUAAUUUGAGAAACGUUGGCCUUCAGUUUAAUCGCCUACCUCUAUCUGACUGCUAAAAGGUUUUGUGAAGUUUUAGGAGCAAGAUCUAAUUCUUAUGAUGUCAACCAGGAGAGGUCACCAAAUCUCUUGACACCUGAAUAGGCAAUUGACACAAGAGAUGCAUUGGCAAUGUUUAAGCUUGUUCUAAU